AACGAACGCUGGCGGCAUGCCUAACACAUGCAAGUCGAACGAGACGUUCGGGUCUAGUGGCGCACGGGUGCGUAACGCGUGGGAACCUGCCCUUAGGUUCGGAAUAACUCCCCGAAAGGGGUGCUAAUACCGGAUAAUGUCUUCGGACCAAGGAUUUAUCGCCUUUGGAUGGGCCCGCGUUGGAUUAGCUAGUUGGUAGGGUAAAAGCCUACCAAGGCGACGAUCCAUAGCUGGUCUGAGAGGAUGAUCAGCCACACUGGGACUGAGACACGGCCCAGACUCCUACGGGAGGCAGCAGUGGGGAGUAUUGGACAAUGGGCGAAAGCCUGAUCCAGCAAUGCCGCGUGAGUGAUGAAGGCCUUAGGGUUGUAAAGCUCUUUUACCCGGGAUGAUAAUGACAGUACCGGGAGAAUAAGCUCCGGCUAACUCCGUG
rnacentral:rRNA from 1 species